rnacentral:misc_RNA from 1 species
AUUUUAUUUUUAAGUUAAAAAGCUUAAAUUUGUUUAAAAGACGAGAAGACCCUAUAGAAUUUUAUAUAAGUCUUAUAUUUUAAUAUUAGUAAUUGAGUAUAAAAUUUUUUGAUUAAUAUUUGAUUGGGGUGAUUGAAAAAUUUAAUGAACUUUUUUUUAUUAGACCAUUUAUAUAUGAUUGUAUGAUCCAAUUAUUUUGAUUAUAAGAUUAAAUUACCUUAGGGAUAACAGCGUAAUUUUUUUAGAGAGUUCUUAUCGAUAAAAGAGAUUGUUAGGUCUGUUCGACCUUUAAAACUUUACAUGAUCUGAGUUUAAACCGGCGUGAGCCAGGUUGGAUUCUAUCUUUAAUUAGAUUAAAUAUUUUAGUACGAAAGGACCAAAUAUUUAUUAUAAUAAUUUAUUUUAGAAUACUAUUAUUAUUUUGGCAGAUUAGUGCUUUAAAUUUAGAAUUUAAAUAUGUAAGUAAUUACAAGUAAUAC